rnacentral:rRNA from 1 species
AAAUUGAAGAGUUUGAUCAUGGCUCAGAUUGAACGCUGGCGGCAGGCCUAACACAUGCAAGUCGAGCGGUAGCACAGAGAGCUUGCUCUCGGGUGACGAGCGGCGGACGGGUGAGUAAUGUCUGGGAAACUGCCUGAUGGAGGGGGAUAACUACUGGAAACGGUAGCUAAUACCGCAUAAUGUCGCAAGACCAAAGUGGGGGACCUUCGGGCCUCAUGCCAUCAGAUGUGCCCAGAUGGGAUUAGCUAGUAGGUGGGGUAACGGCUCACCUAGGCGACGAUCCCUAGCUGGUCUGAGAGGAUGACCAGCCACACUGGAACUGAGACACGGUCCAGACUCCUACGGGAGGCAGCAGUGGGGAAUAUUGCACAAUGGGCGCAAGCCUGAUGCAGCCAUGCCGCGUGUGUGAAGAAGGCCUUCGGGUUGUAAAGCACUUUCAGCGGGGAGGAAGGCGUUAAGGUUAAUAACCUUGGCGAUUGACGUUACCCGCAGAAGAAGCACCGGCUAACUCCGUGCCAGCAGCCGCGGUAAUACGGAGGGUGCAAGCGUUAAUCGGAAUUACUGGGCGUAAAGCGCACGCAGGCGGUCUGUCAAGUCGGAUGUGAAAUCCCCCGGGCUCAACCUGGGAACUGCAUUCGAAACUGGCAGGCUAGAGUCUUGUAGAGGGGGGUAGAAUUCCAGGUGUAGCGGUGAAAUGCGUAGAGAUCUGGAGGAAUACCGGUGGCGAAGGCGGCCCCCUGGACAAAGACUGACGCUCAGGUGCGAAAGCGUGGGGAGCAAACAGGAUUAGAUACCCUGGUAGUCCACGCCGUAAACGAUGUCGAUUUGGAGGUUGUGCCCUUGAGGCGUGGCUUCCGGAGCUAACGCGUUAAAUCGACCGCCUGGGGAGUACGGCCGCAAGGUUAAAACUCAAAUGAAUUGACGGGGGCCCGCACAAGCGGUGGAGCAUGUGGUUUAAUUCGAUGCAACGCGAAGAACCUUACCUGGUCUUGACAUCCACAGAACUUUCCAGAGAUGGAUUGGUGCCUUCGGGAACUGUGAGACAGGUGCUGCAUGGCUGUCGUCAGCUCGUGUUGUGAAAUGUUGGGUUAAGUCCCGCAACGAGCGCAACCCUUAUCCUUUGUUGCCAGCGGUCCGGCCGGGAACUCAAAGGAGACUGCCAGUGAUAAACUGGAGGAAGGUGGGGAUGACGUCAAGUCAUCAUGGCCCUUACGACCAGGGCUACACACGUGCUACAAUGGCAUAUACAAAGAGAAGCGACCUCGCGAGAGCAAGCGGACCUCAUAAAGUAUGUCGUAGUCCGGAUUGGAGUCUGCAACUCGACUCCAUGAAGUCGGAAUCGCUAGUAAUCGUAGAUCAGAAUGCUACGGUGAAUACGUUCCCGGGCCUUGUACACACCGCCCGUCACACCAUGGGAGUGGGUUGCAAAAGAAGUAGGUAGCUUAACCUUCGGGAGGGCGCUUACCACUUUGUGAUUCAUGACUGGGGUGAAGUCGUAACAAGGUAACCGUAGGGGAACCUGCGGUUGGAUCACCUCCUUACCUUAAAGAA